rnacentral:rRNA from 1 species
GAUGAACGCUGGCGGCGUGCCUAACACAUGCAAGUCGAACGGAGUUUAGAUGAAACCUAGUGAUUCUAAACUUAGUGGCGGACGGGUGAGUAACGCGUGGGUAACCUGCCUCAUACAGGGGGAUAGCAGUUGGAAACGACUGGUAAUACCGCAUAAGCGCACGGUGCUGCAUGGCACAGUGUGAAAAACUCCGGUGGUAUGAGAUGGACCCGCGUCCGAUUAGCCAGUUGGCGGGGUAACGGCCCACCAAAGCGACGAUCGGUAGCCGGCCUGAGAGGGCGGACGGCCACAUUGGGACUGAGACACGGCCCAGACUCC